AGGAUACAUGUCAUUUGUUCAGGGGGAAAAAGGAGAGCCGGGUCUCAUCAUGGGUCAAGAUGGGCGACCUUUGUACCUGGGGGGCCUGACAGGGAAACCGGGAGAUAUAGGACCCCCGGGCCCAGCUGGACCCCCAGGCUCUUAUGGCCCUCCAGGUCAAAAAGGAGAAAUUGGGCUUCCAGGUAGACCAGUGAGUAGUUAUUCUACUUUUAUUAUUAUUAUUUUUUUUAUUC